GGCGAACGGGUGAGUAACACGUGGGUGAUCUGCCCUGCACUUCGGGAUAAGCCUGGGAAACUGGGUCUAAUACCGGAUAGGACCAUGCUUUAGUGUGUGUGGUGGAAAGUUUUUCGGUGCAAGAUGAGCCCGCGGCCUAUCAGCUUGUUGGUGGGGUAAUGGCCUACCAAGGCGUCGACGGGUAGCCGGCCUGAGAGGGUGUACGGCCACAUUGGGACUGAGAUACGGCCCAG
rnacentral:rRNA from 1 species